CCUACGGGAGGCAGCAGUGGGGAAUAUUGGACAAUGGGCGAAAGCCUGAUCCAGCAAUGCCGCGUGAGUGAUGAAGGCCUUAGGGUUGUAAAGCUCUUUUACCAGGGAUGAUAAUGACAGUACCUGGAGAAUAAGCUCCGGCUAACUCCGUGCCAGCAGCCGCGGUAAUACGGAGGGAGCUAGCGUUGUUCGGAAUUACUGGGCGUAAAGCGUACGUAGGCGGUUAUUCAAGUCAGAGGUGAAAGCCCGGGGCUCAACCCCGGAACUGCCUUUGAAACUAGAUAGCUAGAAUCUUGGAGAGGUUAGUGGAAUUCCGAGUGUAGAGGUGAAAUUCGUAGAUAUUCGGAAGAACACCAGUGGCGAAGGCGACUAACUGGACAAGUAUUGACGCUGAGGUACGAAAGCGUGGGGAGCAAACAGGAUUAGAUACCCUGGUAGUCCACGCCGUAAACGAUGAUAACUAGUUGUUCGGGCACUUGGUGCCUGAGUGACGCAGCUAACGCAUUAAGUUAUCCGCCUGGGGAGUACGGUCGCAAGAUUAAAACCUUAAAUGAAUUGACGG
rnacentral:rRNA from 1 species